UCCGUAGGUGAACCUGCGGAAGGAUCAUUCACAAUAAGUGUUUUAUGGCACUUUUUCAAUCCAUAUCCACCUUGUGUGCAAUGUUGUCUUGUAACGCGAAUGCUUGUCAUUUGCGCUACAGGAUGUAAACAUCAACUCUUAUUUUUAACAACUUUGUCUGAAAACCUGUAUGAAUACUUAAUUCAAAUACAACUUUCAACAACGGAUCUCUUGGCUCUCGCAUCGAUGAAGAACGCAGCGAAAUGCGAUACGUAAUGUGAAUUGCAGAAUUCAGUGAAUCAUCGAAUCUUUGAACGCACAUUGCACUCUCUGGUAUUCCGGAGAGUAUGCUUGUUUGAGUAUCAGUAAACACCUCAAGUCUCUUCUCUAGAGAAGAGAAUUGGACUUGAGCAAUCCCAACUCUUUGCAAAAAGAGGCGGGUUGCUUGAAAUGCAGGUGCAGCUGGACAUUCUUCUGAGCUAAAAGCAUAUUUAUUUAGUCCCGUCAAACGGAUUAUUACUUUUGCUCUAGCUAAUAUAAGGGUCGAAUGUACUAUACGCUGACUGAUGCAGGAUUACCAAGUUUUACCUAGUAAAACUUGUAAACUCGAUCUCAAAUCAAGUAAGACUACCCGCUGAACUUAAGCAUAUCAAUAAGCGGAGGA
rnacentral:rRNA from 1 species